UCUGUUUUUGCUUAUUCUUGUUAUAAUUAUUAUGAUCUACUUUCAAUAACUUUAACUUUGUAAACUGUUGUGUAACAAUAAUGUCACAUCACAUACACCAGCAGUUACACCUGUCUAACCAGCAAGUUAUGUUAUGUACUUGUUAGGGAAUGUAACUUUCUGUUGUUUGAUGAAUUUUCAACACAGCACUAUGUAAAGUGAGACACUUCUUCUUGUUAUUAUAUUUCUGUUUUCCUUUUAGACUUGAACAGGAAGUCACAACAGUCUUCAGGAGCGGGAGGAGAAUCAGCCUUUGUAUGCACAAAUAGCAACGACUUUGGACUAAAAAACAAGACAACUGGCCCUACAGAAUAUAGGAACUUCUGACUGCUGACACAAGGACGUCAGCCAAAAAGCAGUGAAAGAGGACUGUAGCGAUCAGCUGAUGAAGAUUGCCAUCAUCCAUCCGAAUGUGGCAGAGGAAAACCAAGCUCCUGUGUAUGUCUCGGUCAUCAUUGAGGGGACAGAAGUUCUGGAGGACUGCGGAAGUGUGACAAAUGCUUGCCUCUUGCUCAUGGGUGUCAUUUAUGCUGUCAACUUAAGGUACCCACUGAAACUGGAAUAUACGUUUGAAGUUUUUCAGAAGCUGUUUCUUGAGCUUGACAUCCUUAAAAUGUCACCAAAGGUCCAGUCUCUCCGCAAGAAGCUUAUGUGAGUGUUCCAGUGUUUGAGUUUUUG